AUUGAACGCUGGCGGCAUGCUUUACACAUGCAAGUCGAACGGCAGCACGGGCUUCGGCCUGGUGGCGAGUGGCGAACGGGUGAGUAAUGCAUCGGAACGUACCGUGUAAUGGGGGAUAACGUAGCGAAAGUUACGCUAAUACCGCAUACGCCCUGAGGGGGAAAGUGGGGGACCGCAAGGCCUCACGUUAUACGAGCGGCCGAUGUCGGAUUAGCUAGUUGGUGGGGUAAAGGCCUACCAAGGCGACGAUCCGUAGCGGGUCUGAGAGGAUGAUCCGCCACACUGGGACUGAGACACGGCCCAGACUCCUACGGGAGGCAGCAGUGGGGAAUUUUGGACAAUGGGGGCAACCCUGAUCCAGCCAUGCCGCGUGAGUGAAGAAGGCC
rnacentral:rRNA from 1 species